GCAGUCGAACGAGUUCUCGUUGAUGAUCGGUGCUUGCACCGAGAUUCAACAUGGAACGAGUGGCGGACGGGUGAGUAACACGUGGGUAACCUGCCCUUAAGUGGGGGAUAACAUUUGGAAACAGAUGCUAAUACCGCAUAGAUCCAAGAACCGCAUGGUUCUUGGCUGAAAGAUGGCGUAAGCUAUCGCUUUUGGAUGGACCCGCGGCGUAUUAGCUAGUUGGUGAGGUAAUGGCUCACCAAGGCGAUGAUACGUAGCCGAACUGAGAGGUUGAUCGGCCACAUUGGGACUGAGACACGGCCCAAACUCCUACGGGAGGCAGCAGUAGGGAAUCUUCCACAAUGGACGCAAGUCUGAUGGAGCAACGCCGCGUGAGUGAAGAAGGCUUUCGGGUCGUAAAACUCUGUUGUUGGAGAAGAAUGGUCGGCAGAGUAACUGUUGUCGGCGUGACGGUAUCCAACCAGAAAGCCACGGCUAACUACGUGCCAGCAGCCGCGGUAAUACGUAGGUGGCAAGCGUUAUCCGGAUUUAUUGGGCGUAAAGCGAGCGCAGGCGGUUUUUUAAGUCUGAUGUGAAAGCCCUCGGCUUAACCGAGGAAGCGCAUCGGAAACUGGGAAACUUGAGUGCAGAAGAGGACAGUGGAACUCCAUGUG
rnacentral:rRNA from 2 species